rnacentral:lncRNA from 1 species
AGGCCAAUAAGACCCAAUGGGUCUUAUUCUUACAUGUACUUUAUUGCUGUGUCCUUUCAGUUGAUUUCAGGGUUAUGAAGCUUUCUGCAGCAAGAUUUGAAGCAGCCAGGUUCCAGCUUAGAUCAAAGUCGCUAGGAUUCACUUGUGACUUCUGGGCCAUAAAGCAGAAAAGUAAUUGAAAAAUGGGAGCUGAAGACAGUGUUGAAGGACGGAGCAUGGCGAGAGCCUGGUGGGAGCAGACAGUGCUUGUGCUGAGGUUGAAGUGUUCCCCGUCAUGGAAAAGAUGAACAAGCCAGUUCCAAAUCAGAGUACCAUACAUCCAUGUU